rnacentral:tRNA from 1 species
CGGAGGGGUGGCCGAGCGGUUGAAGGCGCACGCCUGGAAAGUGUGUAUACGGUGUUGAGCCGUAUCGAGGGUUCGAAUCCCUCUCCCUCCGCCAACCC